GGUUAAGUUAUUAAGGGCGUAGGGCGGAUGCCUUGGCACCAAGAGCCGAUGAAGGACGUGGUAAGCUGCGAUAAGCUUCGGGGAGAUGCAAGCAAUCUUUGAUCCGGAGAUUUCCGAAUGGGGAAACCCACCUAGAGUAAUGUCUAGGUAUCCUUAGAUGAAUUCAUAGUCUAAGGAGGGGAACCGGGGGAACUGAAACAUCUAAGUACCCCGAGGAGGAGAAAGAAAAAUCGAUUCCCUGAGUAGCGGCGAGCGAAAGGGGAUUAGCCCAAACCUAUGAAGUUUUCUUCAUAGGGGUUGCGGAUAUGCUUAUUAAGAUGGAGGUAUUGUAGUCGAAGAGGUUUGGAAAGACCCACCGUAGAAGGUAAUAGUCCUGUAGAUUAAACGAGAAGACCAUCAAGCGUACUCCAGAGUACCACGGGACACGUGAAACCCUGUGGGAAGCUGGGGGGACCACCCCCCCAAGGCUAAAUACUCCUUGGUGACCGAUAGCGUAUAGUACCGUGAGGGAAAGGUGAAAAGAACCCCGGAAGGGGAGUGAAAUAGAACCUGAAACCCUAUGCCUACAAGCUGUGGGAGCACAUUAUUAGUGUGACCACGUACUUUUUGUAGAACGGGCCAACGAGUUACGAUAAGUAGCAAGGUUAAGGACUUAGGGUCUGGAGCCGUAGCGAAAGCGAGUCUUAACUGGGCGAUUCAGUUACUUGUCGUAGACCCGAAACCGAGCGACCUACCCAUGGCCAGGAUGAAGCGAAAGUAAAAUUUCGUGGAGGUCCGAACCCACGCACGUUGAAAAGUGCGGGGAUGAGCUGUGGGUAGAGGUGAAAUUCCAAUCGAGCUCGGAGAUAGCUGGUUCUCCCCGAAAUAGCUUUAGGGCUAGCCUCAAGCUUAGAGAUGAGGAGGUAGAGCACUGAAUGUCCUAGGGGCCCUAUGGGUUACCGAAGACUAUCAAACUCCGAAUGCCUUUAUCUUUUGCUUGGGAGUCAGACUGUGGGUGAUAAGAUUCAUAGUCGAGAGGGAAACAGCCCAGACCGUCAGCUAAGGUCCCUAAAUGUAAGUUAAGUGGUAAAGGAUGUGGGAUUGCACAGACAACCAGGAUGUUGGCUUAGAAGCAGCCAUUCAUUCAAAGAGUGCGUAAUAGCUCACUGGUCGAGUGAUCCUGCGCCGAAAAUUAUCGGGGCUAAAACUUACUACCGAAGCUACGGCAUUGACUUUGUCAAUGGGUAGGGGAGCAUUCACUGCGGGUUGAAGCUAGACCGGAAGGACUAGUGGACUGCAGUGAAGAGAGAAUGUUGGCAUGAGUAGCGAGACGUAGGUGAGAAUCCUACGGGCCGAAAACCCAAGGUUUCCUGAGGAAGGUUCGUCCGCUCAGGGUUAGUCGGGACCUAAGCCGAGGCCGAAAGGCGUAGGUGAUGGACAACAGGUUGAGAUUCCUGUACUACCGAUAAUCGUUUGAAGAAUGGGGUGACACAGAAGGAUAGGCUAUCCUACUAUUGGAUGUAGGUCCAAGCAUUAAGGGAGCACUGAUAGGCAAAUCCGUCGGUGCAAUUCUGAGGUGUGAUGGGGAGCGAAAUUAAGUAGCGAAGUAGUCGAUUUCAUGCUGUCAAGAAAAGCCUCUACUGAGAUUAAAGGUACCCGUACCGCAAACCGACACAGGUGGGUGAGAAGAGAAUUCUAAGGCUAGCGAGAGAACUUUUGUUAAGGAACUCGGCAAAAUGACCCCGUAACUUAGGGAUAAGGGGUGCCUCAUUAGGGUGUAUGCCCGAAGAGGCCGCAGAGAAUAGGCCCAAGCGACUGUUUACCAAAAACAUAGGUUUCUGCUAAGUCGAAAGACGAUGUAUAGGAGCUGACGCCUGCCCGGUGCUGGAAGGUUAAGGGGAUGUGUUAGACGCAAGUCGAAGCAUUGAACUUAAGCCCCAGUAAACGGCGGCCGUAACUAUAACGGUCCUAAGGUAGCGAAAUUCCUUGUCGGGUAAGUUCCGACCCGCACGAAAGGCGUAACGAUUUGGGCACUGUCUCAACAAAAGACUCGGUGAAAUUGUAAUUCCGGUGAAGAUGCCGGAUACCUGCGACAGGACGGAAAGACCCCAUGGAGCUUUACUGUAGCCUGGCAUUGGAUUUCGAUAUUACAUGUACAGGAUAGGUGGGAGACUGAGAUACGAGAACGCCAGUUUUCGUGGAGUCACCCUUGGGAUACCACCCUUGUAAUAUUGAGAUUCUAACCAUAGACCAUGAAUCUGGUCUUGGGACACUGUCAGGUGGACAGUUUGACUGGGGCGGUCGCCUCCCAAAAUGUAACGGAGGCGCCCAAAGGUUCCCUCAGCACGGUCGGAAAUCGUGCGAAGAGUGCAAAGGCAAAAGGGAGCUUGAUUGCAAGACAUACAGGUCGAGCAAGGACGAAAGUCGGGCUUAGUGAUCCGGUGGUUCCGCGUGGAAGGGCCAUCGCUCAACGGAUAAAAGCUACCCUGGGGAUAACAGGCUUAUCUCCCCCAAGAGUCCACAUCGACGGGGAGGUUUGGCACCUCGAUGUCGGCUCAUCACAUCCUGGGGCUGUAGUAGGUCCCAAGGGUUGGGCUGUUCGCCCAUUAAAGUGGUACGCGAGCUGGGUUCAGAACGUCGUGAGACAGUUCGGUCCCUAUCCGUCGCAGGCGUAGGAAAUUUGAGAGGAGCUGUCCUUAGUACGAGAGGACCGGGAUGGACAUACCUCUGGUGCACCAGUUGUCACGCCAGUGGCAUAGCUGGGUAGCUAUGUAUGGAAUGGAUAAGCGCUGAAAGCAUCUAAGCGCGAAGCCAACCUCAAGAUAAGAUUUCCCAUCUUUAUGAGUAAGAUCCCAGGAAGACUACCUGGUUGAUAGGUUCAAGGUGUAAGCUCAGUAAUGGGUUCAGCUGAUGAAUACUAAUAGAUCGAGGACUUAACCUU
rnacentral:rRNA from 1 species